GAUGAACGCUGGCGGCGUGCCUAACACAUGCAAGUCGAACGGAGUGUUAUGAAGCUUUCGGGCGGAAUAACACUUAGUGGCGGACGGGUGAGUAACGCGUGGGUAACCUGCCUCAUACAGGGGGAUAACAGCUGGAAACGGCUGCUAACACCGCAUAAGAUUGUAUUGCCGCAUGGCAGAGCAAUUAAAUAUUUAUAGGUAUGAGAUGGGCCCGCGUGUGAUUAUCUAGUUGGUGAGGGAAUGGCUACCCAAGGCGACGACCAGUAGCCGGCUUGAGCGAGUGACAGGCCACAGUGGGACUGAGACACGGCCCAAACUCCUACGGGAGUCAGCAGUGGGGAAUAUUGCACAAUGGGCGAAAGCCUGAUGCAGCGACGCCGCGUGAGUGAAGAAGUAUUUCGGUAUGUAAAGCUCUAUCAGCAGGGAAGAAAAUGACGGUACCUGGCUAAGAAGCCCCGGCUAACUACGUGCCAGCCGCCGCCGUAA
rnacentral:rRNA from 1 species